UAAACACUCGAACUAGCGUCUUCCAAUUCAGUAAAUCGAGUUGAAAUGACAACUGUUUAUCGCUGUCGCUUGUAAGCUUCUGAUUGUGUGAAGGAGGAAAAUUACUAGAGUGAAUAUUGUCAAGAUUCAUUGUAAAGAAUAAAAAGAGGCGAGUUUGAAUUGUACACCAAGGAAAUGAAGAUAGUGUUGAAGUCGAGGAGGUAAAGAAGGAAAGACAAUGACAAUAAAUGGAGACAAUGGUUGUGGUUUCCCUUCGGAUCAACCUUACUAUACUGGGAAUUAAUGUUAUUAGACGUGUA